rnacentral:rRNA from 1 species
UGGGGGAUAUUGCACAAUGGGCGAAAGCCUGAUGCAGCGACGCCGCGUGGGGGAUGAAGGCUUUCGGGUUGUAAACCUCUUUCGCUAUCGAACAAGGCCCGCUUAGGGUGGGUUGAGGGUAGGUGGAGAAGAAGCGCUGGCUAACUACGUGCCAGCAGCCGCGGUAAUACGUAGGGCGCGAGCGUUGUCCGGAAUUAUUGGGCGUAAAGGGCUUGUAGGCGGCUUGUUGCGCCUGCUGUGAAAACGCGGGGCUUAACUUCGCGCGUGCAGUGGGUACGGGCAGGCUUGAGUGUGGUAGGGGUGACUGGAAUUCCAGGUGUAGCGGUGGAAUGCGCAGAUAUCUGGAGGAGCACCGAUGGCGAAGGCAGGUCACUGGGCCAUUACUGACGCUGAGGAGCGAAAGCAUGGGUAGCGAACAGG